rnacentral:rRNA from 1 species
GACGAACGCUGGCGGCGUGCCUAAUACAUGCAAGUCGAACGAGAGCGACCGGUGCUUGCACUGGUCAAUCUAGUGGCGAACGGGUGAGUAACACGUGGGUAACCUGCCCAUCAGAGGGGGAUAACAUCCGGAAACGGAUGCUAAAACCGCAUAGGUCUUCGAGCCGCAUGGCUUGAAGAGGAAAAGAGGCGCAAGCUUCUGCUGGUGGAUGGACCCGCGGUGCAUUAGCUAGUUGGUGAGGUAACGGCUCACCAAGGCCGUGAUGCAUAGCCGACCUGAGAGGGUGAUCGGCCACAUUGGGACUGAGACACGGCCCAAACUCCUACGGGAGGCAGCAGUAGGGAAUCUUCCGCAAAGGACGCAAGUCUGACGGAGCAACGCCGCGUGAGUGAAGAAGGUUUUCGGAUCGUAAAACUCUGUUGUUAGAGAAGAACAAGUGCUAGAGUAACUGUUAGCGCCUUGACGGUAUCUAACCAGAAAGCCACGGCUAACUACGUG